CUCUUAUCCCUCGCAUAUCCCGAUUCCCCUUUCUUCCCCAAAUUUGUCUUCUCCAUUUUCGUUCUUACUGCAAACCGAAUUCAAAGGCACCCUUUUCUCCUGGCGUCUUCUCCUUUGCUUAUUUGCUCAGUUUGUUUCUCUCUCUCUCUCUCUUCGAAAACGCCCCCCUUUCUCCCUCUCUUUUCAAGACUGUCUCUGUUCAGAGCCAUGUUUGCUCUAUGUUUGCUUGGAAGAAGCUCCCAAAAGAAAGAGCAAAGGAGAAUCAUCUCUAGUGAUGCCCUUGUUUCCCAGAUUUUAGUUGCCUCUGUUUCCCAGAUCUGCUCGCAAACCCUUUUUUAUUUUUUAAUUUAUUUUCAUUCUUGUGUCCUUCUACUUCGCCAAAAUCUAGCAAAUUAAAUUGUAUGUCUGCUCCUACAGAAGAUGUUGCCGAACAGUCAAGAGAAAGUUGGGAUGCUAAAGUUAUGGAUUCAAGUGGGACAAAAACAUUUAGCACUAGGAUGCCUGGCAACAUCCAGAGAAGGGUUCGCUGCUUGUGAGUGAAGCAGCUUAGGAUCUUAAAGGGGAAUUAUUGGGGGGUUGAGAUGGCUUAGUUUUCAACUUUAUAUCAUAUGUCAUGGUGAAGUGGAGGAGGUAGGAAAUGUGGAAGAUGAUAAAA